rnacentral:rRNA from 1 species
AUACCAGCCCCGCGAGCGGUCGGGGUGCUUACUGGGCCUAAAGCGCCCGUAGCCGGCUCGGCAAGUCCCCUCCUAAAGCCCCGGGCUCAACCCGGGGAGUGGGGGAGAUACUGCCGGGCUAGGGGGCGGGAGAGGCCGAGGGUACUCCCGGGGUAGGGGCGAAAUCCUAUAAUCCCGGGAGGACCACCAGUGGCGAAGGCGCUCGGCUGGAACGCGCCCGACGGUGAGGGGCGAAAGCCGGGGGAGCGAACCGGAUUAGAUACCCGAGUAGUCC